rnacentral:misc_RNA from 1 species
GGCACGCUGUCCAACUGCUUAAUCCUCCUUCUGCUACUGAACUAGGUUAUUUAAUUUUGCUCUUUCUAAAUAAUAUAAGUUAAACGGUAACCUUUUUUUUCGUUAGGAACUAUACAAUAUGAAAGGCUUAACUGUCUAUAAGGACAUUCAUUUUCCCACAUAUCCUAUAAGGCUAUAUAUGAAACAUAAUUUAGUGAACAGCAUAUAUAUGAGUCUCAUUAAUAAUUUGGGUUCAACGAAUAAUUUAAUAUAAAUUCCCCUACACUGCUCCUUAACUUAUUUUAAAUAUUCCCCAGCAUUUGCUCCCACAACUCUACCUGUUAAUGAAUGCCUUUUUCUGCUAAAAAUGACAUCAAAAAAUAAUUAAAUAAUCAUCUGAAUUGAAGGCACUGUGUAUAUUCCUUAUUUUGUAGGAUUCUAAUUAAUUGUUCUGAUUGUCCCGGUACUUCUUCUCCCAUAACUCCACUUGUUUUAUUGAAAUCUCUCUUCUCCUAAAAAUGGCGUGAAGAGAUGGAGGAUCAUAGGGAGGAGGCAGCGUGCAUGGACUUGUCUCUGCAGGACUCUUCACCAUGGAUUCCAAUAUGAAGUCCUUCUCUAGUCCACCCAAUCGGCAAGCCAUGGAUUCUGAACACAGUUUUAUAGCUUUUCGAGGUAUAACUGGCUUGAACGUCAAGAGAUUUGCAUACUCUUUCAAGAGAUGAAACAUAUAGUCGUACACAUAAUCCAUCUUCAAUUCCUCCUGAAUGAAUUCACUGGCCGCCUUUCCAAUGGCCUGUGCCUGCCAAAUCCAUGCAGAAUGCAACUGAAUUGUAAUAAGUGAUUUGACUCAAACACUUUCUGCAGGGUUCAAGGUAAAAUUAGGUCAGAAUUUACCUUCUGCUUGUGGGUGUUACCCCACUCAACGGCAAACUUAAUGGACCUGCACUUGUCAUUAUCCUUUAUAGGCCAGUAUUGUUCAAUUGGCCUGAGACUUCUCGUGAAGAAGUCAUAGUAAUGUGGUUUUACAAGUAAAGUAACAGAAUCACAGGCAAGAAUGUAUUUUUCGCUGACUGACCAUGCAGUCCCUUCGAUAUAGAUCUUAUAUCUGCGUCAUUGCAUUUAGAAGCAGCAACAAAAAGAUAGUGAAGUAAACAAGAAAAGGCGGUAAUUAAUUAGAAAGCACAUAAACAGAUCAAGUCAAAAACUGAAAGGAUGUAGUUCACACACGUACUGGCACAAAAUAAGAAUAAGUGAACAAUUUUGAAUUUUUUCCUACCUGUGAAUACAUUGGCUUGCUAAGUUUGAUUGCUUGUAACCUUGCCGUGAUUCUCGAAUCCAGUCCUGAGCAUACAAACGAGCAUUCCAGUCUUGUUGCUCAGAGACAUUACAUUUCAUAAGGUCCUGCCUGGUUUCAGCAACUGCUGGAUUUCCUUUCCAGUAAGCAUAAGGUUCCCUGUCCAUCCACCUGGUCUUCUUGUUGCCUUCUUUCAAGUCAUUCAGCAGAUUCUCCCAUGGCUUUAUAUUGACCUCAGGCCAUCCCCAAAAGGACCAAUCUGGGAAAACGAUAUCCAGUGUGUCGUCAUCUCCACAGUAACCAAACAAAGGUGGUGGGGCCGUUGCGUUGGGCCUCCAACUAUACUCACUUGAAUUCACAACCGGCAAAUCAAAGCAAUCAAACAUGAGCUCCAAAUCAGGCACUUUUCCUGGGUAUCUCCGUAACAACUGUAGGAUUCCCCACAGCGUAAAAACAUCUCUCGUCUGAAACGCCCUCCGGUACUUCUCCAAAUAGGCUUCGCCAUUCACAAUCGCCAACCUAAAAUUCGCUGUCCUUUUAGCUCUCUCAACCAUUUCCCUCGUUAUCCCCGUGCGAGCCCAUGGACGCAGGUCUUCGUAUAUCCAACGGAAGUAUUCUGGACAAGCAGAAACAGAUGGACGGCGUGGAUUUUCUGAAAUGGUAGUGGAGUAAUACGCCGGACAUUUUCUUGUGAGGUUGAAAGCAGCGCAGUCGAGUGGAAUCUCGAUUUUGUUUAUGAGCUUUUCGGUGGCUAAAAACGGCUUCUGAGCCAACCCGCUCUUAACAGUCUGCAAAAACACAGGCUGAAAGUUGAAAAUUAAAGAAAUAGUCAAUAACGGCCAAUCAGCUGUGCCCAGGUCCAAAAUGGAAUGAAAUUCUACAGACAUCAUGGGUGCCUCAUGGGUUGGUGGGAGGGACCCAUGCACAUGAAUGAUUACAAUAAAUCACGACACUAGUCCCACAGUAGACCAACUUUUCUCAGGAAAAAAAAAAAGAAAGAUGAACCGACACUCACGACGUAUGCGAGGCCUUGGAAUCAUCUCUUAGCAUAAUAUGUACGCGUGUCCGGCAUAAGAAAAUGUUGCUAAAGAAAAAAAAAAAUAGAGCUAACGACGUCGUUUGUAAAAUUGUAGAGCAAUCCCGCGCAUGGACGUCAUAUUAGUUAUUACUCUCCUUUUUGCCUUGCAUUUCUCGAGAAAAGGAUGAGGAAUGUCAUUAGUUAUUUUUGUCGGCAAGUGGCUCUUCCCUUUUGUUUUUAUGAGAGCAAGCAAGAUUGAUCACAAUAGGGCGUUUACUUACAGUGUUGUCAAAGUGGCGCGUGAAGUCGAACGCGCAUACAAGCAGGAAGAGGAGGAACACGAAGACGGAGAAUCUUGCAGAUAACUUGACAGAAGGCCAGAUCGUCUCUUGCAAAUGAUAAUAAAUCCCCGAUCCAUUUUGCAAGUAACUCUGCUCCCUCUGCUGCUCCCUGAUUUCUCUCAUUUUCUGUCUCUUCUCUCUCUCUGUAAAUUCUCUUAACUAAUUUCUGACAAAGCACUUGUCAGUGAGAUAAUUGGGUGAUUUCCUCAGAUAUGUGUGUACUUCAGUUUUGGCUGAUAUGGAGAUGUUUAAGGCAUAACUAGGAUCAUUUCUUACGAGAGUUUCUGAAUCGGCUAGUUUGUAAAAAAUAGAAACCACGAACUUUAAUUAAGCAGAUGGAUGGAGAUCCAAAAGACGCAAAUAAUAAGAGAGAAACACAGUUGUAGUUUGCAUUUGCUGUUGAAGUAGGGUCACGCUUAGCUAAAAGGAUACCCAGGUAAAACAAAAUUGGCUAAAGAAGUAUGGAUGGUGCUUAGGGAGAGCAUGAGAUCCAAAUUAGAGUUUCAGUGUGAAAUUGGAGUUUCAGUAUGAGUGUGGUGGAGGAGUCUGCGACUGCUUUUUUACUUCCGUUUCUCAAGAGAGAAGCGAAAAAAUUUGAUUGUCAAAGGUGGAGAAUAAAGAUGGAGAAGGAGAACAAAAAGGAAAUUUCUCUGAGGAAACGAAACACUGGAAAGUAGA